GACGCACGUGAAGAGGCUGCAUGGUGAGAUGCAAACCUCUCUGGAUGAAAGGGCAGCUGGCACGCCAGGCUGGCGGCGGUUUUUUUGCCAUCUCCUCCUUCUUUAUUCUGCUGCGAUUUGGAAAGCUUGCAGAACGUGACGAGGGAGCACCCUUGUGGUAUGCAGAGGGGGAAGAGAGCAGCAAAAUCUUCCAUCAGGUGAUUCAAGUGCACGCCUGAGUUCUGAUGAUGGGAGCCUGGUCUCAGAAACCAAGACAGAGAUGUGGGCUUGCAGCCCCACUGGCUCAUGAACCAUCUGAACACUUCUGGGGCCCAGGACUCUCUCUUCAACGGCAGGGAGACGUAGUGACUCCCCGCCUGUUUUCACCACUGGAGGGGCUGGAGAGAAUAAAAACGCUCUGGUUUGAGCGCACCUCAGUCCGGGGCCAUAAACGCUUGUGCUCUGCAUACCGACAACUGCGCAUCAAACAAAGGUGUCCUUACCCUGUGCUACGAGAUAGAAAAACCCCGAAUGGUGGAGAAGAAAGAAGAAGGAAAACUGACAGAAACCUGACGUUUAUUGAGGGACUUCUGGGAUCAUGGACGUUCAGUGUGAAUAGAACUCAUGAUGAGACCAAAGAAGAAGGAGAAGAAAGAGAAGAAGAUAACUCAGAGAUGACCCUGGGAGACGGAGCCAUGCUGUUGGGACUGGAGCUAAAAUAUCAUAGAGUGCCUGAUGGUGAUCAAAGAAUAUCUUUGCCUUUCUUGGAAGCCACACCAGCCUUUUUCAGCCGCUUUAAGCGAGGGGAGAGCCACUCUGGUUCAUCCCAGGAGAGGGUCCCUGACCAACGGGGAAGACUUUCCCACAAGGAGUUUGCUCCAAAGCAUAAAGGGUUCGGUCUCCUGCCUCUCAUUCAAAAAGUUUUUAAGGCCUUUCGCAGGAAACAAUUUAAAACCAGCUGCACUUAUCGAUCAGCGAUUUGAUUUUGCUUUGUUAGGAGGGAUUUGUAAUCUGCUUUUAAAUGUUUUUUUCUUCCUGGCCUUCUUUGAUAGCGAGUUCUGCCUGAGGCAACUUCUCAAAAACUUGUCACUGGAGCUUUCAAGUCUAUGUGAACAACUGGAAUACUUUUAAUCUGGACCCUUCCUCUCUCCCCACUACCUCGUCCCUUCUGUAGGCGUGGAGGACACGUGGGAGGGUUGUAAACAUCUUCCAACCAAAUCAUAUCAAGCCUAUUAAAAAAAUUACUUGCCUUUAAACAGCAGCCACGGGCGUAGAGUAAGGGAGAAAAUUUGAAGCACAGAGUCGCAGAGUAUCCAUCAGACUUCCUUUUCUCCAGUAGAUUUAGUGAAUCUCAAAAUGUAAAUCACUUCCAAAGCCUUGUUUGUGCUGCAAUUGAAAAAUGAAUUGCAAAUAUAUAUGUAUAUGUAUAUGUGUAUGAAUUGUAGCAGAACCUAUGUCACAGAGAGGCUUUCUGGAAACUUCCCUCACCACUAUUUAUUUAUUUAUUUAUUUAUUUUGACAGGCAGAGUGGACAGUGAGAGAGAGAGACAGAGAGAAAGGUCUUCCUUUGCCGUUGGUUCACCCUCCAAUGGCCGCUGGGCCGGCGCGCUGCGGCUGGCGCACCACACUGAUCCGAUGGCAGGAGCCAGGUACUUAUCCUGGUCUCCCAUGGGGUGCAGGGCCCAAGCACUUGGGCCAUCCUCCACUGCACUCCCUGGCCACAGCAGAGAGCUGGCCUGGAAGAGGAGCAACCAGGACAGAAGCCGGAGCCCCGACCGGGACUAGAACCCGGUGUGCCGGCGCCGCAAGGCAGAGGAUUAGCCUAGUGAGCUGCGGCGCCGGCCCCCUCACCAUUUUCAAAGGCAGUGCCUGUGCCUCCCGUGGCACGGUGAGCCACUUCCUUUGUGUCUUCCUAAGCUACCUCAAAAGAGUGGCUGUUUCCUUAUCAUCGCUUGAAUUAGAGACCAGAAGGCGUGCUCCUGAUUUAACUAAUCGCUUCGGGUAUUUCUCAAGCUUACAGAAACCAAAAGUGUUUGUAAGAUAUCUGUUCUUUGAUUUUUCUUGAUGAAAUGGACACGCAUGCUAUUUUUAUCAUGUACACACAUGCGUACGCAUAUAUGAUCUUUAUGAAUUUAUUGAGCAAGAAACAAGUAGGUGAGGAAAACAUACUUUUCAAGUCCACUUUGCUUGUCAUUCAUACACAUUCUACAGAUUAUUCCUGAAUGUUUACAGGUCCGGCGUGGACUGAUUUUACACCAAAGAAGAGGGUAACACAUCUUCAUUGUUUAUAAAAAUAACAGCUCCUAAUGGACCAUAUUAGCUUUAACACAAACUCGUCAAGCCCCUUCAUUACACUGCUCCGUGUUCUGUUUCGGCAUCUCGUGAGCUCUGGGAAGUAGGUGCAAACUCCUAAGGAAACAUGAGACACAUUGAGACGAUUAGAGAUCAUGGUUAUUAGAUAAGCCCCGGGAGGAUGUUUUUCUUGGGCCGCUCACAAGCAUUUUGAAAGAGUCGUGCUCCAGGUCUGAGGUCCCGUGUUUCUUCCUCUUAAACUAUGAGCAGCUGUAGCAUAUGACCUACUUCUGUAGGGCCCUGUAAUGAUUUCCUUCCUUCGAAGGCUUCGGGAGCCCUCCUUCUGCCCUGUGAAAAAAGGGACAAAUAUGUUAAUCCAAGCAAAAUGCUGAAGCAGGUUUUGUUGGUUUCAGGGAAGAAACUCAAUACAGCUCCAGCGCGGCGUGGAGGCCUCAAAUUGGAGCCAUCUGGGCUGCAAAGGGGCUCUGAGACCUUUGGGGAAGGCCGAGGCAGCCUUGCCUAGGGCUGCGGCCCAUACACCUGCAGACGCGGCCUCGGCCGGCCUCACCCGGGAGCCGCUGCCGCUCACAUGCGCGGGACGCUUGCAGUCGGGGCUAUCCUGGAAGGAGGUGGUGCCAGGUGCCGGCUGAUUAAGUGAAUUCGCCUGGCAGCCAGAGGAGCGCCUCACUAUUCCUGGGAACGUCUUUGACACAAACCAGACGGAAUCACAUCUCCUACCUUUUUACUUUGUAGCAGUCAGCGAAGAAAGUGCUUGGGAAACUCUAGGUUGGUCUACACUGUGUUUUCUGAGUUAGCCUCAAAGCUGGAGGGAGAAAGGAGGUGUUUGAAAAAGCAACGCACUGGUGUUUGACAUUCUCCGUAUUUUUUAAAAUUGUUUAGAGGGUUAUUAUUCUUGUGGGCUAGUUUUAGGUUCCAAUUAAGAAAAAUGAAGCUUUUUUUUUCCCCCAAGUGUAGCUCUGCUAUCUAAAUACAGAUGAGGCCAGUUCCCUAGAACUUAUUUUAAAGUCACUUAAAAAUAUUUUGCGUUGCAUACUCUCAAUGGGUGUGAGAUGAACAUUUCAUGCCAUUUCCAAAUAAAAAGGACAAGGACGUUGACUUGGAGUCA
ensembl:lncRNA